GGGGGGAGUAAAGUGGCGAACGGGUGAGUAACACGUGGGCAACCUGCCUCGAAGUUUUGGAUAAGCCCUCGAAAGGGGGUCUAAUACAGAAUAACCUCCUCGGGUGGCAUCAUCUGGGGAGCAAAGGUAGCUCAUUUUAUGGGCUAUUGCUUUGAGAUGGGCCCGCGCUCCAUUAGCUUGUUGGCGAGAUAAAAGCCCACCAAGGCUACGAUGGAUAGCCGACCUGAGAGGGUGUACGGCCACACUGGGACUGAGAUACGGCCCAGACUCCUACGGGAGGCAGCAGUAGGGAAUAUUGCGCAAUGCCCGAAUGGGUGACGCAGCAACGCCGCGUGGGUGAUGAAGUUCUUCGGAAUGUAAAACCCUGUCAGAGGGGAAGAAAAUCCUACCUUAGGUGGGAUCUGACGGUACCCUCAGAGGAAGCUCCGGCUAACUCCGUGCCAGCAGCCGCGGUAAUACGGGGGGAGCAAGCGUUGUUCGGAAUUACUGGGCGUAAAGGGUGUGUAGGUGGGCAGGCAAGUCAGACGUGAAAAUCCAAGGCUUAACCUUGGACUGGCGUUUGAAACUACCUGUCUUGAGUACGGGAGAGGAAAGUGGAAUUUCAGGUGUAGCGGUGAAAUGCGUAGAUAUCUGAAAGAACACCGGUGGCGAAGGCGGCUUUCUGGCCCGAUACUGACGCUGAGACACGAAGGCUAGGGGAGCAAACAGGAUUAGAUACCCUGGUAGUCCUAGCGGUAAACGUUGGGCACUAGGUGUUGGAGGAAUCGACCCCUUCAGUGCCGAAGUUAACACAUUAAGUGCCCCGCCUGGGGAGUACGGCCGCAAGGUUGAAACUCAAAGGAAUUGACGGGGGCCCGCACAAGCGGUGGAGUAUGUGGUUUAAUUCGACGCAACGCGAAGAACCUUACCUGGGUUUGACAUCUCGAUGAAAACCCAAGAGAUUGGGUCCCCCAGCAAUGGGCAUCGGGACAGGUGCUGCAUGGCUGUCGUCAGCUCGUGCCGUGAGGUGUUGGGUUAAGUCCCGCAACGAGCGCAACCCUUGCCCUUAGUUGCCAUCUCACUUUUAGUGGGGGCACUCUAAGGGGACUGCCAGUUAUAAGCUGGAGGAAGGUGGGGAUGACGUCAAGUCCUCAUGGCCCUUACGUCCAGGGCUACACACGUACUACAAUGGCCGGCACAGAAGGUUGCAAUACCGCAAGGUGGAGCUAAUCCCUAAAACCGGCCUCAGUUCAGAUUGGAGUCUGCAACUCGACUCCAUGAAGGUGGAAUCGCUAGUAAUCGCGGAUCAGCAGGUCGCGGUGAAUACGUUCCCGGGCCUUGUACACACCGCCCGUCAAGCCAUGGAAGUUGGGAGUACCCGAAGU
rnacentral:rRNA from 1 species